CACCACCUCCUGCUCUAAGGAUCCAAAGUCACCCCACUGGGUCAGGAAAGAGGCUUCGUCACACCCAAAGUUUCAGCAGGAAGAAGAGGAGGAGGAGGAGGCAGUGGAGGAGGAAAAAGAGAAGCAGAGUGGGUGGAAGGAUGGAAGGAGAGAAGGAUAGAAGCAGUUCGAGGAGGUGGUUCGAAGCGGGUGAACCCAGAGCAGGUGAACACAGCUGUGGAUCGCCAUGGGCUCUCUGGCUGCCUUCCUCCUGUGGCCCCGGUGCUGCAUACAUGGGUCCCGGGGAGCCAGCAGGGGCCAGCCAAAGCUGCGGCAGAGUGGGCAGGCUAGGCCAGCCAAGCCAGGAGAGAGGCAGGUGAGGCGGGUGAGCAGAGCUCUCAUCCCCGCCGGCUAGGAGCCUCCACGGCAGAGCGGAGCAGCACGGAGCAGCAGAAAUCAAUACAGAGGAGAGAGGCUAGCAGAGGUUGCCCAGCACCGCCUGCAGGCCUCGGAGCCCAGGGACCAACCACCACCACUGCUCCCAGCUCCUCUCUCCAUUUCUCUUUCUAUCUUUCUCCAACAGUCCCAGCACCAGCCAGGGCCAGGGCCCUAACCUUGCAACCGCCCCACACGCAGUGUGUGUGUCAGUAUGUGCACAUGUGUGUGUGUCUGUGAAACGGAGAGAAAAAGGGAGAGGAAAGAGACAGAGAGAGAGAGUCUUUGUGUGUGGUUCAGCCAGAGGGGUUUUUGCUGCGUCCAACACCACUUGAUAAAACUUUGUCAGAGAGACAUGGAGACAGCAAGGGAGGGAGAGGAACGGAAGAAGAAUAAAACGCGUUGAAGGUCUCUUUUCUUCCAGCUCCCUCCCUCUUAUUACUCAUUCCACCUUAACUGUUUGAAUAAGGAUCCAUCUGAGACAGCGUGCAUGACGUUUCUGCUCAGUCCCACUUCCAAGCACGUAGCACACAACAUUCCUAAGAUCUCAUGAGCUGGAAAGAAAGGACAAUUUGAACUUUUUCUUUCAUGUACUGUAUCAGACACAACCUGUCUUUUCGCCUUAGAUUUUCUUACCCUCACUACAGCAGCUCCCAUCAGAGGAUAUGGCAGUGCAGUAUUGAUCUAUAAGGUGGAAGAGAGGAAGGCGGGCCUGGGCUUUCAUACCUCUCUCUCUCUCUAUAUGUGUGUGGAAAUAGCACCUGAAGUCCACUUACUGCUGUGCAGCAGGGAUCCCAUGGCAGCACAAGUGAACGGCUGCUAAUUGAAUGAGAGAUGAAAAGGACAGUAGUUGCACCUGUUCAGUGCCCUCCUCCUGUCUGAUAGUGCUUAGUUUUUCAUUUUUUCUCCUUCACAUUUACAAAAGUCCUUCUCCACACAAAGAAACUUGCUCUUCAGAUGUUUUAACAAAAUUGCUGGUGACUUAAGAAAAUUGGCUAAAUCCUCAGUAAUGAAAAUACCUGGCUCAACAUCAGUGUAGAGGUGAAAGCCUUCAGAAGGUGUUGUUUUAAUGCAGUGGUAGAGACAUCCUGCUGAAACUUUACUUCUGAGAGUUCAUGUCAGAAGAUUAUUUGUGGACUUGGAAGGACAUUACAGCACAGAUGGACAGUUUGCCAAACAUGAAAACUGACAGAGAUUACAACGGGACUGCUACCUCUUGAUGCAGUGAGAGAUGACAUGAUAUGAAAAGCUGCCAACAAGCUUCCACCAUGGGACCUGACGCUCACAAAGCACACCACGUCUGUAGCCAAUUUUCCCUGAACAUGUUUAGCCCCAGCCACAUAUGGAAAACGCCGUCCCUUACACCUGCAGGAGCAGUCAGUUAGACACACAUCAUUAGAGUGUGAUUAUCAGUGGUCUUGCCUGCCGUCUUUGUGGAUGUGGACAGGUAAGUCGGAGCUGCUUCUAAAAGGUAUGUUUAGAGGCUGAAUCAAUUUAAGAGCUGUCUAAAGUGUAAAGUGGAGCUGCCGAGCAAUAUUUUCCAAAAUUAGUUUCAUUAGAUAUGUAUUACUAUAUUUGAGACCAAUUUUAGGUCGGAGAUUGGAUGAGACCCCAAGGGGUCCUUCUUUUCACUCGGUAAUUUACGUUCAAGUAUUUGACUGGAAAAUCGUUUGACAAGAGUUUGUUGAAUUACUUUCCACUUUUCUAUGAGACAUUAUGUACACAUCUGUAUUUAUACAGUCUUUUUCAUAUUACAAUGAACUAAUUUCAUUAAAUGUGAUUGCCAAAUGCCAAAAGUAUUGCCCUGAAAAGAUAUAUAUAUAUUUUCAAUAAAACUCAACAAUUUGUGAAAUGAAAAACUGCCUUGGUUGUUUUUUU